rnacentral:lncRNA from 1 species
GCCCUCUGCGGUUACCCGGAAGUGAUUAACAUUCACUUCCUGCGCUCUGGGGGAAUUGGGGCAUGGCCGGAGACGUUAAGUUGCUUUAUUUUAAAAAUAAUAAUAAUAACAAAAUUUGAUUUCUUCCAAGCCGGGUGUUUAUGCCCAGACAUAAAAUACGCAUUUCACAGAGGGCCUUCUACAGUUAACAAAAAAGUGAAAAAUUAGAAAAUAAAAUCUGCACCGUGGAGUGGACUAAAACCAAAGCUGGAGACGGGAAUUUCUCCCGAGCGCAGUUCUGGAGCGCAGGGUUUGAAGUGGAUCCUCCCUUGGGGCUCAGGAUGGCUUGCUGGAGUGCUGAGCUACUCCACACGGAAGCCCCCAUCCCUGAGCACCCGCAGAAUACCCGAAGAGCUGCAAGCCACGGGGGACUCAGGCCAGCUCUACAUCUGGUGACCCCUGGGUGUUGCUGCAAAGUCCAAGCUUUGUCCUCUCACCCCUUGGCCCUACAGGAGGGAGGAAGCAUCCUACUGGGAAGAUUCCCUCUGCACCCUCUGCACCCUGGUAUGGAGGUGACCUCGGGACAGAGCCAAGUAUUGCAGGGCGAAAGGCACCUGAAGCCAGCAGUGUGGAAUGUCUUCUCCCUUGGGAUAAAGGAUGCUCUAUCAGCUUUUUUCUCGGCCAUGAGAGUGUAACACAGAAAAUCUUUCCGAUACUUAUAAACACAUAAAGCGGACAAUCUUCAAAUGCUGAUUAAAACACCUUGGGCUUUCCUUCUCUUCCUCAGUAACUGUAUUUACAUCAGAGGAAGAAAAACGAUUCAGUAGCAUUUUAUAAAAGCC